rnacentral:rRNA from 1 species
UACGAAGGGGGCUAGCGUUGCUCGGAAUGACUGGGCGUAAAGGGCGCGUAGGCGGAGUGCUUUGUCGGGUGUGAAAUUCCAGGGCUCAACCUUGGGGCUGCGUUCGAGACGGGUGCUCUUGAGUUUGGAAGAGGGUCGUGGAAUUCCCAGUGUAGAGGUGAAAUUCGUAGAUAUUGGGAAGAACACCGAUGGCGAAGGCAGGUCUCUGGGCAUUAACUGACGCUGAGGAGCGAAAGCAUGGGGAGCGAACAGG